GACGAACGCUGGCGGCGUGCUUAACACAUGCAAGUCGAACGCUGAAGCCUGGCUUUUGUUGGGUGGAUGAGUGGCGAACGGGUGAGUAACACGUGAGUAACCUGCCCUCUUCUUUGGGAUAACGCCCGGAAACGGGUGCUAAUACUGGAUAUUCACUUGCCUUCGCAUGGGGGUGGGUGGAAAGGGUUUUUUCUGGUGGGGGAUGGGCUCGCGGCCUAUCAGCUUGUUGGUGGGGUGAUGGCUUACCAAGGCUUUGACGGGUAGCCGGCCUGAGAGGGUGACCGGUCACAUUGGGACUGAGAUACGGCCCAGACUCCUACGGGAGGCAGCAGUGGGGAAUAUUGCACAAUGGGCGCAAGCCUGAUGCAGCGACGCCGCGUGAGGGAUGGAGGCCUUCGGGUUGUGAACCUCUUUCGCUCAUGGUCAAGCCGCAACUCAUGGUUGUGGUGAGGGUAGUGGGUAAAGAAGCGCCGGCUAACUACGUGCCAGCAGCCGCGGUAAUACGUAGGGCGCGAGCGUUGUCCGGAAUUAUUGGGCGUAAAGGGCUUGUAGGCGGUUGGUCGCGUCUGCCGUGAAAUCCUCUGGCUUAACUGGGGGCGUGCGGUGGGUACGGGCUGGCUUGAGUGCGGUAGGGGAGACUGGAACUCCUGGUGUAGCGGUGGAANGCGCAGAUAUCAGGAAGAACACNNGUGGCGAAGGCGGGUCUCUGGGCCGUUACUGACGCUGAGGAGCGAAAGCGUGGGGAGCGAACAGG
rnacentral:rRNA from 1 species